rnacentral:rRNA from 1 species
AACGAACGCUGGCGGCGUGCUUAACACAUGCAAGUCGAACGCGAAAGGGACUUCGGUCCUGAGUAGAGUGGCGCACGGGUGAGUAACGCGUAGAUAAUCUGUCCUUGUGUCUGGAAUAAUACGUCGAAAGGUGUACUAAUACCGGAUAUUCUUGCUUUUCACAUGAGAGGUAAGCAAAGGUGGCCUCUGACAUAAGCUACUGCAUAAGGAGGAGUCUGCGUACCAUUAGCUAGUAGGUGGGGUAAAGGCCUACCUAGGCUGCGAUGGUUAGCUGGUCUGAGAGGAUGAUCAGCCACACUGGAACUGAGACACGGUCCAGACUCCUACGGGAGGCAG